rnacentral:rRNA from 2 species
AGUAACGGCGAGUGAAGCGGUAACAGCUCAAAUUUGAAAUCUGGCUCUUCCGGAGUCCGAGUUGUAAUUUGUAGAAGAUGCUUUGGGAGGUAGGGCCGGCCUAAGUUCCUUGGAACAGGACAUCAGAGAGGGUGAGAAUCCCGUAUGUGGCCGUGGCCUACGCCCGUGUAAAGCUCUUUCGACGAGUCGAGUUGUUUGGGAAUGCAGCUCAAAAUGGGUGGUAAAUUUCAUCUAAAGCUAAAUAUUGGCCAGAGACCGAUAGCGCACAAGUAGAGUGAUCGAAAGAUGAAAAGCACUUUGGAAAGAGAGUUAAACAGUACGUGAAAUUGUUGAAAGGGAAGCGCUUGCAACCAGACUUGGGCGUCGUCGAUCAUCCGGGGUUCUCCUCGGUGCACUCGACGAGGCACAGGCCAGCAUCGGUUUGGAUGGUUGGAGAAAGGCCCUAGGAACGUAGCUCUCUUCGGGGAGUGUUAUAGCCUAGAGCGCAAUGCAGCCCAUCCGGACCGAGGACCGCGCCUUUGGCUAGGAUGCUGGCGUAAUGGUUGCAAGCGACCCGUCUUGAAACACGGACCAAGGAGUCUAACAUCUAUGCGAGUGUUUGGGCGUUAAACCCAUACGCGGAAUGAAAGUGAACGUAGGUGAGAACCCGUCAGGGUGCAUCAUCGACCGAUCCUGAUGUCUUCGGAUGGAUUUGAGUAAGAGCAUAGCUGUUGGGA